AAUGAACGCUGGCGGCAGGCCUAAAACAUGCAAGUCGAACGCCCUAGCAAUAGGGAGUGGCGCACGGGUGAGUAACAUGUGGGAAUAUGCCUUUUGGUACGGAACAACGUUUGGAAACGAACGCUAAUACCGUAUGGUCCCUCCGGGGUAAAGAUUUAUCGCCAAAAGAUUAGCCCGCACUAGAUUAGCUAGUUGGUAAGGUAAUGGCUUACCAAGGCGACGAUCCUUAGCUGGUCUGAGAGGAUGAUCAGCCACACUGGGACUGAGACACGGCCCAGACUCCUACGGGAGGCAGCAGUGGGGAAUAUUGGACAAUGGGCGAAAGCCUGAUCCAGCAAUGCCGCGUGAGUGAUGAAGGCCUUAGGGUUGUAAAGCUCUUUUACCCGGGAUGAUAAUGACAGUACCGGGAGAAUAAGCUCCGGCUAACUCCGUGCCAGCCGCCGCCGUAAAAC
rnacentral:rRNA from 1 species